GGUACUGAGAGCAGCCAUCUUGGAGCUUGGAAACGGAGACGCAUGUGAAGCCGUUUGCACAGUAUUUUUCCCUUAAAAUAUGGGUGGGGAACAAGGGGCUGUCAUUUGUCUUUUUCUUUGGGAUGGUGAGCAGUGAGCAGGGCACGCCGCGAGGAGCAAACUGCAGCCCAAGCACACGCGGUCAGCACGCGGAGCACAGGACAAUCAUGCUGGCUGUUAGUGAAGAAUGGCCUGGAGCACUGGGUCUCCGCCCCAGCUGCCUGGGAGAAACUGUGUUGAAGGAGCCAUACCCCCUGGCCUCCCCUCCAGACUCCAGACAACCCCAGUCAGCUGGCUGGGAGGGAGGCAGAAGAGAAACAGGGGUGCACCUGGGGCUCCUGCAGGGGUCCAGCCAGGAGAUGGGGGCAACUUGGACAGGGACGAUCCUGGGAAGGGCAGGAGGAGGAGUGAGACCUGGCCUGCCCUCUCCCUAGAGGCUCAUCAGCUCCCUGGAGACAGACACGCCCUGGUUCCUUUCCCUAUGCCUGGAGCCUGGGUACCAGCUAUUGAAAACUGCUUUUCUCCUUGUUCAUUCAAACAUAUUCACACAUAAAGGUUGUCAUUCCUUUUUGUCACUAUUUGACAAAAAUUGGAUCAUACCGUAUACAAUUCUCUGCUAUUUGUUUUGCUCACCUAACAAUAAAUACACUGUGAAAAAU
rnacentral:lncRNA from 1 species